GGAGAGAUGGCUGAGCUGGUCUAAGGCGCACGACUGGAAAUCGUGUGAACGCUAAUACCGUUCCGUGAGUUCGAAUCUCACUCUCUCCGCCA
rnacentral:tRNA from 1 species